rnacentral:rRNA from 1 species
GGUAAGUCAAAACGAAGAUAGAGCUGAAAUUUUGUAUCGUAUGCAAAGCACUUUUAAGUGCGGUCACAUGCGACGAGAUUUCAGUGAUAAAACACUAAAAUACGAAGUCCGCAAUCUUUCAGAUUUGUGUGACAAAAUCAUCCCUCACUUUCGUGUGUAUUCUAUGAUUUCAGGCAAACAACAAGACUUUGAGCUUUUCGCUCAAGUGUGUGAGCUUAUGAAAGAAGGAAAACAACAUACGAAGUCUGGUAUGCGACAGAUUAUACGCCUCGCAUUCCAGAUGAAUCCUUCAGGUAAACGGAAGUAUACGCAAGCAGAAUUGCUUGCACUGUUGAGAUGAAGAUAUAGUCUAUGCCUCUAGUAAUAGGGGAGUCAGAGAAUGUCAGCACAACAUUCACACAUCGAAAUGAAGUUCCGACGUGCACGAAUGGCGUAACGACUGGGAAACUGUCUCGAGGGCAUGCUCGGUGAAAAUGCAAUAGGGGUAAAGAUGCCCCUUACCUGCAGAUAGACGAAAAGACCCCGGGAGCUUUACUGUAGCUUCGUAUUGGGGCUGUUGAAUUGAUGCGUAGCAUAGGUGGGAGACUUUGAAGCAUUCCUUCUGGGGAAUGUGGAGUCGCCAGUGAAAUACCACCCUUUAAUUUGGCAGUCUCUAAUCUGACAGGCAAAACCUGUCAGCGACAGUGCGUGGCAGGCAGUUUAAGUGGGGCGCUUCCCUCCUAAAGAGUAACGGAGGGGUCUCAAGGUUGGUUAGGCGCGAAUGGAAACCGUGCCGAUAGUGUAAUGGCAAAAACCAGCUUGACUGCAAGAUGUAAGUAUCGCGCAGACACGAAAGUGGAGCAUAGUGAACCGAUGGUCGGCUUUAGAUGCCGCCGGAGAUUACCUGAUAAAAGUUACCCCGGGGAUAACAGGCUAGUCGUGCCCAAGCGUCCAUAGCGACGGCACGGUUCGGCACCUCGAUGUCGGCUCGACUUAUCCUGGGGCUGGAGCAGGUCCCAAGGGUUUGGCUGUUCGCCAAUUAAAAAGUCACGCGAGCUGGGUUUAGACCGUCGAGCACCUUUUUCAAUUAAAAGGGUGCUCGACCAAUCUAAACCCGAGGUGAAUACACUGACCUUGUAUUCGAAAAGACAUCAUCACGGCGGCCCGAACAAGUAAUUGUUUGGUGAUAAGUUGACUAUAUCGGUAAAAUCCUACCAACACAUGUUAGGAUAAUACCGAGGGAAGUUAUCUUAUGUCGCAUGCGUCUCAACUACAUGAUGCGUAUAUAGCCGGAUUCCUAGAUGGAGAUGGAAGUAUCUAUGUGAGAGCAAAACCGAAUUUGACCUAUAAAUUUGGUUAC